rnacentral:rRNA from 1 species
CAAUAGCGUAUAUUUAAGUUGUUGCAGUUAAAAAGCUCGUAGUUGGAUUUCGGUUGGGGGCGGCCGGUCCGCCGUUCGGUGUGCACUGGCUGGUCCCAGCUUCCUGUCGAGGACGCGCUCCUGGGCUUAACGGCUCGGGACGCGGAGUCGGCGUGGUUACUUUGAAAAAUUAGAGUGUUCAAAGCGGGCUUACGCUUGAAUAUAUUAGCAUGGAAUAACACUAUAGGACUCCUAUCCUAUUUCGUUGGUCUCGGGACGGGAGUAAUGAUUAAGAAGAACAGUUGGGGGCAUUCGUAUUUCAUUGUCAGAGGUGAAAUUCUUGGAUUUAUGAAAGACGAACUUCUGCGAAAGCAUUUGCCAAGGAUGUUUUCAUUAAUCAAGAACGAAAGUUGGGGGCUCGAAGACGAUCAGAUACCGU